UGCUGGUGGAGAGAGGACAGACCGAGGAAAGCUAGUUGGACUUCCAUCGCUACGCCGCAUCUUACAGUCAGAUAAUUCCUCAAAGUUCUCCCUGGAAGACAUUUUAUCGCUGGAAUUGCCAAUUUUGGAUCAACCGUUUUUGAGAGUUCAGGCGAAGGAUUUCUAUACGAGCAUUGUUUACAUUGUAAACCAAGUGGAUCACCAUGGAUUUAACAGGACCACUAUGGAUCACUUUUGUGGAAUAUAAAGAACAACUCGCACCUUUUAAAAGCAAGAUGGGCGCUUUUAAGUCCAUUUGUUUGUCUACUGGACCUCAGUGGACAUAUGGGAACUCAUUGUGGAUGGGGUUGAUGGCAAGGAAUGGAAUAUCUUGGGAUAUUAGCAGCUGGGAUGCUUGUGUUGCCCUCAAGGGACAUCUCCUGAUCACACAGUGCAAGACUCCCAAAUUCCAAGAGUGAGCUGUUAAUCGUCGCCACAGAUCCGACUGAUGAGAUCAGGUGAGCGUGAAGAAACUGGAAACAAGAUCUCAUGGAGUUCCCCAGGAUCAGGCUAAAUCCUGGUUUGGACCGUGGGGACUUGCUUGACCAUCAGCAGAUGUUUUCUCCUGGCAAAGCGUCAGACGGCAUGUGCUCCAUCACUGACGAUCUCGCCCUCAAGAUCCAGCGUCAGCUACUUGGACCGAGGGAAGCUUUGACAUAAACCCAGCAGGACAGUGGAGAGGAUUCGAUUUCGCAGACGUUAUGAGACAGAUCCGUCAAGCCCUGUCUUGCGUUCGGAAAGGGAAGCCAAGUCGGCGAAUGUGCUCUAAGUGUACCUUCGUUAACCACAGUGGAUGGACAUAUUGUUUGACUUAUUCUACACUGAGCCUGGAUUAAUAUUUUCCCGUGUGGACAUCUGCUUUUCAUACUGGCGCUCCAGCUCAAAAGCCGUCCGUGUCACAUCGACUGUAUUAUCCGGGAUACAUCAACAAGCGCUGGAACUGCGAAAGGAAAAUAAUCAGAAGUUACUUUCAUUCUUGUACGGAGACCUGAGCCAGUAUUUAGACCACUUGGACUGGUCAAGGCCAGAUGAUUGAGGACUGAGCAGGGAAAAAAACCCUCAACCGGACCAGUCCACUUAAUCUGAACCCAAUUCCUUGAUUUAGUACAGUUGAAAUAAACUGAUCUGUUAUUUUGAA